rnacentral:ncRNA from 1 species
GAUCUGGUUGAUUCUGCCAGUAGUCAUAUGCUUGUUUCAAGGACUUAGCAUGCAUGCCUCAGAAUCACUGCAUUGCAGGAAUCUGCGCAUGGCUCAUAC